CACCGUCUUAGAAAACCUCAACUUUCAAAGACAGUGCUGACGUCAGGACUGUCUUAGAAAGCCAGGCUUCAAAGAUGGUG
rnacentral:pre_miRNA from 1 species